CAGCUAGUUGGCGGGGUAAUGGCCCACCAAGGCUUAGAUCGGUAGCCGGUCUGAGAGGACGGACAGCCACACUGGGACUGAGACACGGCCCAGACUCCUACGGGAGGCAGCAGUGGGGAAUCUUGCACAAUGGACGAAAGUCUGAUGCAGCAACGCCGCGUGGGGGAUGAAGCUUCUCGGAGUGUAAACCCCUUUCGACCCGGACGAAUGCCCGCAAGGGUUUGACGGUACGGGUAUAAGAAGCCCCGGCUAACUACGUGCCAGCAGCCGCGGUAAUACGUAGGGGGCCAGCGUUGCUCGGAAUUACUGGGCGUAAAGGGUCCGUAGGCGGUGCGGCAAGUCGAUAGUGAAAUCUCUGGGCUUAACCCAGAGGCUGCUAACGAAACUGCCGUGCUAGAGUGUGAGAGAGGCGAGUGGAAUUACGGGUGUAGCGGUGAAAUGCGUAGAUAUCCGUAGGAACAUCCGAGGCGAAAGCGGCUCGCUGGAUCACAACUGACGCUGAGGGACGAAAGCUAGGGGAGCAAACAGGAUUAGAUACCCUGGUAGUCCUAGCCCUAAACCAUCAGGACUUGGGGUUUGCCCUGUACGGGGCAAGUCCCGUAGCUAACGCGUUAAGUCCUGCGCCUGGGGAGUACGGUCGC
rnacentral:rRNA from 1 species